rnacentral:rRNA from 1 species
UCCGUAGGCGGGCGUCUAAGUCAGUGGUGAAAUCUUACAGCUCAACUGUAAAAUUGCCAUUGAUACUGGAUGUCUUGAAUUAGUGUGAAGUGGUUAGAAUGUGUAGUGUAGCGGUGAAAUGCAUAGAUAUUACACAGAAUACCAAUUGCGAAGGCAGAUCACUAACACUAUAUUGACGCUGAGGGACGAAAGCGUGGGGAGCGAACAGGAUUGGAUACCCUAGUAGUCC